rnacentral:rRNA from 1 species
GAGGGAGCCUGAGAAACCGGCUAACCACAUACUACGGAAGGCAGCAGGCGCGUAAAUUACCCAAUCCUGAUUCAGGGGAGGUAGUGACAAGAAAUAACAACUCGGGGGCCUCACGGCUUACGAGAUUGCAAUGAGAACAAUUUUAAAUCUCUUAGCGAGGAACAAUUGGAGGGCAAGUCUGGUGCCAGCAGCCGCGGUAAUUCCAGCUCCAAUAGCGUAUAUUAAAGUUGUUGCAGUUAAAAAGCUCGUAGUUGAAUUUCUGAUUAUGGAUGUAGCGGUUUCCGUUACAUUUGUAGUCAUCCACAUGAGAACCUUUCUCGGCCUUCACUGGUCGGUUGGGGGAUCAUGUACUUUACUUUGAAAAAAUCAGAGUGUUUCAGGCAGGCGUUUGCAUGAAUACACAAGCAUGGAAUAAUGGAAUAGGACUAGGGUCCAUUUUUAUUGGUUAUUGGACCAUAGUAAUGAUUAAUAGGGACAGUUGGG